rnacentral:rRNA from 1 species
UACGUAGGGGGCAAGCGUUGUCCGGAUUUAUUGGGCGUAAAGAGCGUGUAGGCGGCCAGGGAGGUCCGUUGUGAAAACUCGAGGCUCAACCUCGAGACGCCGAUGGAAACCCCCUGGCUAGAGUCCGGAAGAGGAGAGUGGAAUUCCUGGUGUAGCGGUGAAAUGCGCAGAUAUCAGGAAGAACACCCGUGGCUAAGGCAGCUCGCUGGGACGGUACUGACGCUGAGACGCGAAAGCGUGGGGAGCAAACAGG